rnacentral:rRNA from 1 species
ACUCAAAGGAAUUGACGGGGGCCCGCACAAGCGGUGGAGCAUGUGGUUUAAUUCGACGCAACGCGAAGAACCUUACCUACCCUUGACAUCCUCGGAACCUGGCUGAAAGGCUGGGGUGCCUUCGGGAGCCGAGAGACAGGUGCUGCAUGGCUGUCGUCAGCUCGUGUCGUGAGAUGUUGGGUUAAGUCCCGUAACGAGCGCAACCCUUAUUGCUAGUUGCUAACAGGUUAAGCUGAGAACUUUAGUGAGACUGCCGGUGAUAAGCCGGAGGAAGGUGGGGACGACGUCAAGUCAUCAUGGCCCUCACGGGUAGGGCUACACACGUGCUACAAUGGGCAGUACAAAGGGAUGCGAAGCUGCGAAGUGAAGCGAAUCUCAGAAAGCUGCUCGUAGUCCGGAUUGGAGUCUGCAACUCGACUCCAUGAAGUUGGAAUCGCUAGUAAUCGCGGAUCAGAACGCCGCGGUGAAUACGUUCCCGGGCCUUGUACACACCGCCCGU